rnacentral:rRNA from 1 species
UCGACUGUUUAUCAAAAACAUAAUUAAUAGAUAUAAUUAUUAACAAAACCUGCUCAAUGAAUAUUCAAUAGCCGCAGUUCAAACUGUGCUAAGGUAGCAUAAUCACUUGUCUUUUAAUUAAAGACUAGAAUGAAAGGUAUCACAUUUAAAUUACUAUUAUACAUUUAAUCCUAAAUUAUUCUAAAUGUAAAAAAACAUUUAUUUAUAAGAUAGACGAUAAGACCCUAUCGAACUUAACUUUAGUUAAGCUGGGGAAGCUAAUAAACAAUAUUUUAAUUAAACUUCUUUAACCAAAUGACCUAAUAAAAUUAAUUUACUGAUCAAGUUACCGUAGGGAUAACAGCGUAAUGUUUUUCUAUAGAUCUUAUAUAAAAAAAAGAUUGCGACCUCGAUGUUGAAUUAAUUUCUCUAAUAUAAAGCAAAAAUUUAUAAAGAAAGUCUGUUCGACUUUUAAACAAUCACAUGAUUUGAGUUCAGACCGGUGUAAUCCAGGUCGGUUUCUAUCUU